AUGAACACAAUCCAUGGAAUUCUCCAGGCCAGAAUACUGGAGUGGGUAGCCUUUCCCUUUCCAGGGGAUCUUCCCGACCCAGGGAUUGAACCCAGGUCUCUUGCAUUGCAGGCAGAUUCUUUACCAGCUGAGUCACAAGGGAAGCCCAAGAAUACCAGAGUGGGUAACCUAUCCCUUCUCCAGUGGAUCUUCCCAACCCAGGAACUGAACUGGGGUCUCCUGCAUUGCAGGUGGAUUCAACUGAGCUAUCAGGAAAGCACUUUAUGGCAAGAAAUCUCCACUCAACUGGAUUCUGAAACUGAUGGAUUCCCAAGACCACUCUGCUUUGACCUAAGAGAGGGCAGGACAGGAGUAGCCUAUCCCUCUGAACUCCAGGUACCCUUAAUAUUGGCAAAACCUUUUCCGUCAUUUUUUUUUUCUCAUGGCAAGCUGGGUAUUAGGUUCAUCCCAGUAAUUUCCUCUUACCUCUUCCAUUCUUCACACCCCCACAAACCCACUGAGUUAGAACAAUGCUCUCAGUCUACCUUUGUCUCAGACAUACUCCCAAGCAUGUUGGUUCAGGCUCUCCUUAGAAUAUCCCCAUAUCCUCCCAUCUGUUCACUCAUUCGAAUGUGCAAACAGAUCCUCACCUACGGACCGUUCUCUCCCACUCUCCCUCCCUCCCUCUCCCCAUCCGUGCCCCUCACUCCUGCCCGCGCGCUCACACGCACACUCACACGGAAACACACCAUAGACGCCGAUAAACACAUAUGCCCUCCUUCCCAAUUCAAUCCUAAUCCAGUUAUCCGGAUCUCCCCAUGUCCGCUCGGUCUCUCCAGACGGUCCCGGCGUUGAAGCCGUGUGAAAUACUCACCUCCAAAGCCUGUGGGAAACUUCAUGAAGUGAGAAUAAUUUCCAUACAUGUUGACUCUUCAGUUCAUAGUCCUCCCGGACGCGUCUGCUCAGUGGCUCGGCCUCUCCCUGCUCCCAAGCGCAGCCGGGCUCCCUUCAACUUGGGCUAACAAGAGUGGUCAUCGCUUCCUAGCAGCCCGGGCAGCUCGGGCUGGGCCAGCCCUCUGGGAUUAGUCAGGAAUCUGCCUCUCGAUCUGAGCGUCCACAUCGUGCGUCGAGCCGGCGGUGGCGGCAGCAGCUGGUGCCUGUCAGUAAUCAAGUCGGGGCAGGGCUGCUGCGUGCGACUCUUGCAGCUCCCGGCUGGUCCCCAGAGGUCCCCACCGGUGGCACGAUCUGUUAUCUGGGAAGCCAAUCGAUGUGCGACUGACCCAGAGUAGGUCAGGACAGAGGAGGGGGAAGUGGGGAGGGACUCUUUAGAUGUCUUUUCUUUGACUUGCGUCCCCCCCCCAAAAAAAAAUCAAUGGGGUUUUAUUAAAAUGGGUUUCUUCCCUAUGGCUUCUAACUAGCCAAUGCACUUGGUGCUUGAUCUGGGAAAGGAGGUGGGGAUGGAGCGAAGAGAGAACAGACCCCUUCAUAAACCCAAGAUUGGCCAAGAGUGAGAGAUCCUCCCCAACUUUGGAAAAACUAAUCCAGAGUGGCCCUUAGACUUGCAGUAAGCACCGCCUGCUCUGGUGGCCGGAAGCACUGGUCUGUGCUCAAAUGGCCGAAGCUUGAGGAGGGCAGUAAGGAGCCAGAGCUCACUCACACAGAACACAGUACAGGUAGGAAAGACAGACAGGUGGGCCUCCGAUGUGUCACUGAAGGGAAGCGUUCACCUUAUAUACCACUGUCAUCAGGCUGCCUGUUCAAAAAGUGCCAUUGAAUCCUCACUGACACAGAGCUUCUUUGGUGGAACCGGCCCGCAGAUCAUAGAGUCUAUGCAUCCCUUUGAUGUUUGGAUCUGUUAUACAGAUUUCCUGACAAGCCACUGCUCCACCUAUACUCGAACACCUCCAGUGAUGGGAAGCUCACUAUCAUUUCAUUCCAUUCCAUUUCUGAACAGCUCAUGAGAAAGUUUUCACUGAGCUGAAAUCUAUCUCCUCCCCGCUUCUUCUGCCCACAGGUUCUAGGCUACUCCCUGGGGCCACACAGGAGAAGCCUGUGGGGUCUUUCACAAUAGGAUCAUCUGCAAAUUCGGAGAUAAAUCUCCCAAGGCCAUAAUCUACAGUCUCUAGGCAUUCUUGUCUCUUUUAUUCAUUUCACAUAUCACCAACUGUUCAAGUCUAUUCACAAUCUAUUCUUCUUCUAUGAAUGUACUUCAAUUUACGUAGAUACCCCUAUGGUAGGGAAAGGGGUCAGCCAGACUCGGAUACAAUACCCCAUAUAUAGUCCAAAUCUUCUCCUCGUGGAGAAUGUAUUGGGAGUGCAAUGGGGGUGCUGUCAGCACACCCACCAGAGGUCAGGGUCAUGAUCUGAGCUCUGAGGGUUUUCUUCAGAUGCAGCACUGCACGUAGACCACCACAGAGGCCGUCAAAUCAGAGUCCCAUGGUGGGGAAAUAAAAAGCAAGAUUCACAUGGUAGGAGAGCCUGGAACAAAAGCUAAGAAUGAAAGGUUAGAGGCAGGAAUAGAGUCGGGAUGGCAAGAGGGGAGGAGGCCAAGAUGGAGGGUCAGAGCAAAAGCAGGUCAGGAAGGAGGAAGAAAGAUCAGGCCAGCACUGUGAAGAGUCUUCUUGCCCAGAGCUCCCCUAGCAGGCCUCUGGUCUCAGAACAUCAGCUGAGACCUGCAUGGAC
rnacentral:lncRNA from 1 species